rnacentral:misc_RNA from 1 species
GAUGAAGAACGCAGCGAAAUGCGACAAGUAAUGUGAAUUGCAGAAUUCCGUGAAUCAUCGAAUCUUUGAACGCACAUUGCGCCCUCUGGUAUUCUGGAGGGCAUGCCUGUCCGAGCGUCAUUGCUAUACCUCAAGCACGGCUUGUGUGUUGGGCCCCGUCCUCCGAUCCCGGGGGACGGGCCCGAAAGGCAGCGGCGGCACCGCGUCCGGUCCUCGAGCGUAUGGGGCUUUGUCACCCGCUCUGUAGGCCCGGCCGGCGCUUGCCGAUCAACCCAAAUUUUUUAUCCAGGUUGACCUCGGAUCAGGUAGGGAUACCCGCUGAACUUAAGCAUAUCAAUAAGCGGAGGA